rnacentral:misc_RNA from 1 species
GAUGAAGAACGUAGCGAAAUGCGAUAAGUAAUGUGAAUUGCAGAAUUCAGUGAAUCAUCGAAUCUUUGAACGCACAUUGCGCCCAUUAGCAUUCUAGUGGGCAUGCCUGUUCGAGCGUCAUUUCAACCCUUAAGCCCUGUUGCUUAGCGUUGGGAGCCUACAGUACUGUAGCUCCCCAAAGUUAGUGGCGGAGUCGGUUUCACACUCUAGACGUAGUAAUUUUUUCUCGUCUGUAGUUGAGCCGGUCCCCUGCCGUAAAACACCCAAUUUAUCAAGGUUGACCUCGGAUCAGGUAGGAAUACCCGCUGAACUUAAGAAUAUCAAUAAGCGGAGGA